GACGAACGCUGGCGGCGUGCUUAACACAUGCAAGUCGAACGGAAAGGCCCUGCUUGCAGGGUACUCGAGUGGCGAACGGGUGAGUAACACGUGGGUGAUCUGCCCUGCACUUCGGGAUAAGCCUGGGAAACUGGGUCUAAUACCGGAUAGGAGCCAUUUUUAGUGUGAUGGUUGGAAAGUUUUUUCGGUGUAGGAUGAGCUCGCGGCCUAUCAGCUUGUUGGUGGGGUAAUGGCCUACCAAGGCGGCGACGGGUAGCCGGCCUGAGAGGGUGGACGGCCACAUUGGGACUGAGAGACGGCCCAGGCGCCUACGGGAGGCAGAAGUGGGGAAUAUUGCACAAUGGGCGCAAGCCUGAUGCAGCGACGCCGCGUGGGGGAUGACGGCCUUCGGGUUGUAAACUCCUUUCGCUAGGGACGAAGCUUUUUGUGACGGUACCUAGAGAAGAAGCACCGGCUAACUACGUG
rnacentral:rRNA from 1 species